GUUUGAGUCAGAAACAAGUUCUUGUGUUUUGUCAUGUGAGCGGACGCACCGGAAUCCACAUACCAUGCAUCACCAUAGUCUCUGGAUGAUGCCAUGAACACAGCAGCAUAUGAAGACUUCGUAGAGUUCGUAGACUUCUGUGCAUUUGGUUUGGAUUUGCACUCGGGACUCUUGUGUCCAUACUUGUUACAUGUGUAACAUCUAGGUCCCUUAGAUUCUUUCUUGUGAAACUUCUUAAAAUUUUUGUUCACAGCAAAUGCUUCAGUAUUACUUUCGGAUUGCCUUACAUCUUGUAAUAACUUUGCUUUUAUAGCAUCGGAAGUUAUCUUCAUGCCGGAGCUUUCGAUAGCUAUGAUCAUAGGCUGAUAAGACUGAGGAAGACCGGAGAGCAGCAGUGUUCCGAGCCACUCAUCAUCCACCUUGAAGCCUAUGUUCCGGAACUUAUUAGCUGUUGAUAUUAUUUUACUCACGUACUCUUCUACGCUUUGACAUGCACUGAGUGAGGUGUUACACAGAUCACGCAGUAAGCCGACUCGACGUGUUAGCCCAGAGUCAUCGAAGACAGAAGACAGUUUGUCCCACACUUCUUUUGCAGUCCAGAGGAUAAAACCUGUUGACUGCGCCAAGAAUGACAAUAAAAAAAAGCAUCAAGUUAAUCAGUUUAGAAGCCAUGACAAUGAAACCACUCAUUCUACUAUAACCUCAGAUGGAAUAUCGACGCAGCUACAACAAUUUAAUUUUACAAACUGGCUCCUGGAAGACUGGCCUUAAUCAACGCCGAAAACGAAUAUCACAGUUAACAAGACCACAAGUUUGGGAAGGAUCUACCAACCCCAAGGCUAUCGAAGAAGAAUAGAAGAAUCUCCUACACUACCUCGAAGUUUACAAGUUUCUUAGAAAAACUCAGAGAAAUAUAAAAAAGUAGGUACAUCACCUGUAACAUCACAGAACACAAAUUUCGACUGCGCUGAAGAUGAAUUGGUUGAAGAAUUUAAAACAAGGGACCGUCAGAUAGAACCUGAUAAGAAGAAACUCUGAAAAAUAUCCGGCACCAUAUGUCUCGAAGAUCAUAAGUUUCUACUGUGCUGAAGAUAAUGUUAUGUUGCAUUGAAGAGGACAAAACCUGUAAACUGCGCCAAGAAUGAAAAAGAAGCAUCAAGUUUAUCAGUUAAGAAGCCAUGACAAUGAAACCACUCAUUCUACUAUAACCUCAGAUGGAAUAUCGACGCAGCUACAACAAUCUACUUUUACAAACUGGCUCCUGGAAGACUGGCCUUAAUCAAAGCCGAAAACGAAUAUCACAGUUAACAAGACCACAAGAUUGGAAACGAUCUACCAACCCCAAGGCUAUCGAAGAAGAAUAGAAGAAUCUACCUACACUACCUCGAAGUUUAGAAGUUUCUUAGAAAAACUCAGAAAAAUAUAAAGAAAUACAUCACCCGUAAUAUCACAAAACACAAGUUUCAACUGUGCUGAAGAUGAAUCGAUUGAAGAGUUAAAAGCAUCAAGAUCAUGAGUCUAACUCCUCGAGCACCAGAUUACACUACCGUCUGCUCGCUGGCCGUCUGCUGGACCUCCCCAGUGGGUCUCAUCCGGCAGGCUUGUGCCGCGCUGAGGACGGUGUUGUGUUGCGUCGAGGAGUACAGAGCAAACAAGGGACCGUCAGAUAGAACCUGAUAAGAAGAAACUCUGAAAAAUAUCCGGCACCAUAUCUCACGAAGAUCACAAGUUUCUACUGUGCUGAAGAUGAUGUUAUGUUGCAUUGAAGAGAAUAAAACCUGUAAACUGCGCCAAGAAAGACAAUAAAAAAUAUAGAGCACCAAGGUUAUCAGUUAAGAAGCCAUGACAAUGAAACCACUCAUUCUACUUUAACCUCAGAUGGAAUAUCGACGCAGCUACAACAAUCUACUUUCACAAACUGGCUCCUGGAAGACUGGCCUUAAUCAACGCCGAAAACGAAUAUCACAGUUAACAAGACCACAAGAUUGGGAACGAUCUACCAACCCAAAGGCUAUCGAAGAAGAAUAGAAGAAUCUCCUACUCUACCUCGAAGUUUACAAGUUUAAAAAAAAUCUCAGAGAAUUAUAAAGAAGUACGAGUAUAUCACCCAUAAUAUCACAGAACACAAGUUUCGAAAACUCAGAGAAAUAUCAAGAAGUAGGUAUAUCACCUGUAACAUCACAGAACACAAAUUUCGACUGCGCUGAAGAUGAAUUGGUUGAAGAAUUUAAAACAUCAAGAUUAUGAGUCUAACUCCUCGAGCACCAGAUUACACUACUACUACCAGAUAAAAUCAAGUUUCUACUGUAUUGAAGAUGAUGUAAUGACUCCAUAGAGCGUCUCAUUGUGCAGGGAAAAGUUGAAGGCACCAGACCACAUGGCACAUCACCGAUGAGAUGGAAAGACCAGAUCAAGGCCAUAACUAAAUGCUCAGUUAACAAAUCUAUCCGGAAAGCUGCGGUCUGUCUAGUAGUCUAGUAUUUUCCAUACGUGCAGCGAAGCAAACAAUUCAAGAGUGCAAGGAUGCAAGAACAAAGAUUGAAGACAAUUGGGAAAUGAAAACGUGAAAUGACACAGUAAAUCACAGCGAGUUUAAACUGCUUAGAUCGGAGUCAGCAAAGCACCUGACACAAUGCAGUAUAGAAAUAUUGUCGACCAUAGGUAGGACAUCUCACAAAAGGGCGAUUGAAACUGAAAAGGAGCAAACUAAAGUCGUUGAAGACUUGCCAAGAAGAUUUACUGACGUCACUACGUACAACAGAUGUAAAAGGUUUAAGACACUACUAGCUGACUAUCUUCAUAAUAUGCUUCAAUGCCCACUCUUUCCUAUGAGUGAGGUCACUACAAGUCACUGGAGAACCAUCCAUCGCCCACAAAAGGGCGAUUGAAACUGAAAAGAAACCUUGGGAGCAAGCUAAGGUCGUUGAAGACUGGCCAAGAAGAUUCAGUGACGUCACUACGUACAACACAUGGAAAAGACUUAAGACACUACGAGCUGAAUAUCUUCUAUAAUAUGCUCCAAUGUCCACUCUUUCCUAUGAGUGGGGUUUUUCUGUAUUCUGAGGAGUAAGGUCACUACAACUCACUGGAGACCAUCCAUCGCCCACAAAAGGGCGAUUGAAACUGAAAAGAAACCUUGGGAGCAAGCUAAAGUCGUUGAAGACUGGCCAAGAAGAUUCAGUGACGUCACUCCGUACAACAGAUGGAAAAGUUUUAAGAAACUAUGCUGAAUCUUGUCUUCAUAAUAUGCUCCAAUGCCCACUCUUUCCUCUGAGUGAGGUUUUUCUGUAUUCUGAGGAGUGAGGUCACUACAACUCACUGGAGAACCAUCCAUCGCCCACAAAAGGGCGAUUGAAACUGAAAAGAAACCUUGGGAGCAAGCUAAAGUCGUUGAAGACUGGCCAAGAAGAUUCAGUGACGUCACUCCGUACAACAGAUGGAAAAGUUUUAAGAAACUAUGCUGAAUCUUGUCUCCAUAAUAUGCUCCAAUGCCCACUCUUUCCUAUGAGUGAGGUUUUUCUGUAUUCUGAGGAGUGAGGUCACUACAACUCACUGGAGAACCAUCCAUCGCCCACAAAAGGGCGAUUGAAACUGAAAAGAAACCUUGGGAGCAAGCUAAGGUCGUUGAAGACUGGCCAAGAAGAUUCAGUGACGUCACUACGUACAACAGAUGAAAAAGGCUUAAGACACUAUGAGCUGAAUAUCUUCUAUAAUAUGUUCCAAUGUCCACUCUUUCCUAUAAGUGAGGUUUUUCUGUAUUCUGAUGAGUGAGGUCACUACAACUCACUGGAGACCAUCCAUCGCCCACAAAAGGGCGAUUGAAACUGAAAAGAAACCUUGGGAGCAAGCUAAAGUCGUUGAAGACUGGCCAAGAAGAUUCAGUGACGUCACUACGUACAACAGAUGAAAAAGGCUUAAGACACUACGAGCUGAAUAUCUUCUAUAAUAUGUUCCAAUGUCCACUCUUUCCUAUAAGUGAGGUUUUUCUGUAUUCUGAUGAGUGAGGUCACUACAACUCACUGGAGACCAUCCAUCGCCCACAAAAGGGCGAUUGAAACUGAAAAGAAACCUUGGGAGCAAGCUAAAGUCGUUGAAGACUGGCCAAGAAGAUUCAGUGACGUCACUACGUACAACAGAUGAAAAAGGCUUAAGACACUACGAGCUGAAUAUCUUCUAUAAUAUGUUCCAAUGUCCACUCUUUCCUAUAAGUGAGGUUUUUCUGUAUUCUGAUGAGUGAGGUCACUACAACUCACUGGAGACCAUCCAUCGCCCACAAAAGGGCGAUUGAAACUGAAAAGAAACCUUGGGAGCAAGCUAAAGUCGUUGAAGACUGGCCAAGAAGAUUCAGUGACGUCACUACGUACAACAGAUGAAAAAGGCUUAAGACACUACGAGCUGAAUAUCUUCUAUAAUAUGUUCCAAUGUCCACUCUUUCCUAUAAGUGAGGUUUUUCUGUAUUCUGAUGAGUGAGGUCACUACAACUCACUGGAGACCAUCCAUCGCCCACAAAAGGGCGAUUGAAACUGAAAAGAAACCUUGGGAGCAAGCUAAAGUCGUUGAAGACUGGCCAAGAAGAUUCAGUGACGUCACUACGUACAACAGAUGAAAAAGGCUUAAGACACUACGAGCUGAAUAUCUUCUAUAAUAUGUUCCAAUGUCCACUCUUUCCUAUAAGUGAGGUUUUUCUGUAUUCUGAUGAGUGAGGUCACUACAACUCACUGGAGACCAUCCAUCGCCCACAAAAGGGCGAUUGAAACUGAAAAGAAACCUUGGGAGCAAGCUAAAGUCGUUGAAGACUGGCCAAGAAGAUUCAGUGACGUCACUACGUACAACAGAUGAAAAAGGCUUAAGACACUACAAGCUGAAUAUCUUCUAUAAUAUGCUCCAAUGUCCACUCUUUCCUAUGAGUGAGGUUUUUCUGUAUUCUGAGGAGUGAGGUCACUACAACUCACUGGAGACCAUCCAUCGCCCACAAAAGGGCGAUUGAAACUGAAAAGAAACCUUGGGAGCAAGCUAAAGUCGUUGAGGACUUGCCAAGAAGAUUCAGUGACACAAUAGACGUCACUAUUAUAACUUCAACCUACCAAAGUCACAGAUCUUCAGUGCGCAAGUCUGCCUAUAUCAAAUGUUAGCAAAGUACGACUCAUUUACUUUUAUCCUGAAGAGCGAAGGAAACAAUGCAAGGGUGCAACAAAAAGUACAGAGCAUCAAGAUUAUUAGUCAAGAAGCCAUGAUAAUGGAACCACUCAUCCCACUGUAACAGAUGGAAGAUCGACACAGCUGCAACAACCUACUUUAACAAACUGGUCUUAAUCGGCGCCGAAAGGGAACAGCACAGUUACCACAAGAUUGGGAAGGAUUUAUCUACCAACCCAAAGGCCACUAUCGAAGAAGAAUAGAAGAAUCUCCCACACUACCUCGAAGUUUACAAGUUAAAAAAAAUCUCAGAGAAUUACAAAGAAGUAUAUCACCCAUAAUAUCACAGAACACAAGUUUCGACUGCGCUGAAGAUGAACUGGGUGAAGAGUUUAAAGCAUCAAGAUUAUGAGUCUAACUCCUCGAGGACCAGAUUACACUACUACUAAUAGAUAGAAUCAAGUUUCUACUGUAUUGAAGAUGAUGUAAUGACUCCAUAGAGCGUCUCAUUGUGCAGGGAAAAGUUGAAGGCACCCGACCACAUGGCACAUCACCGAUGAGAUGGACAGACCAGAUCAAGGCCAUAACUAAAUGCUCAGUUAGCAAAUGUAUCCGGAAAGCUGCGGUCUGUCUAGUAGUCUAGUAUUUUCCAUACGUGCAGCGAAGCAAACAAUUCAAGAGUGCAAGGAUGCAAGAACAAAGAUUGAAGACAAUUGGGAAAUGAAAACGUGAAAUGACACAGUAAAUCACAGCGAGUUUAAACUGCUUAAAUCGGAGUCAGCAAAGCACCUGACACAAUGCAGUAAAGAAAUAUUGUCGACCAUAGGACAUCCCACAAAAGGGCGAUUGAAACUGAAAAGGAGCAAACUAAAGUCGUUGAAGACUUGCCAAGAAGAUUCACUGACGUCACUACGUACAACAGAAGUAAAAGGUUUAAGACACUACUAGCUGACUAUCUUCAUAAUAUGCUUCAAUGCCCACUCUUUCCUAUGAGUGAGGUCACUACAAGUCACUGGAGAACCAUCCAUCGCCCACAAAAGGGCGAUUGAAACUGAAAAGAAACCUUGGGAGCAAGCUAAGGUCGUUGAAGACUGGCCAAGAAGAUUCAGUGACGUCACUACGUACAACACAUGGAAAAGACUUAAGACACUACGAGCUGAAUAUCUUCUAUAAUAUGCUCCAAUGUCCACUCUUUCCUAUGAGUGAGGUUUUUCUGUAUUCUGAGGAGUGAGGUCACUACAACUCACUGGAGACCAUCCAUCGCCCACAAAAGGGCGAUUGAAACUGAAAAGAAACCUUGGGAGCAAGCUAAGGUCGUUGAAGACUGGCCAAGAAGAUUCAGUGACGUCACUACGUGCAACAGAUGGAAAAGUUUUAAGAAACUAUGCUGAAUCUUAUUUUCAUAAUAUGCUCCAAUGCCCACUCUUUCCUAUGAGUGAGGUUUUUCUGUAUUCGGAGGAGUGAGGUCACUACAACUCACUGGAGACCAUCCAUCGCCCACAAAAGGGCGAUUGAAACUAAAAGGAAACCUUGGGAGCAAGCUAAAGUCGUUGAAGACUGGCCAAGAAGAUUCAGUGACGUCACUCCGUACAACAGAUGGAAAAGUUUUAAGAAACUAUGCUGAUUCUUAUUUUCAUAAUAUGCUCCAAUGCCCACUCUUUCCUAUGAGUGAGGUUUUUCUGUAUUCUGAGGAGUGAGGUCACAACAACUCACUGGAGAACCAUCCAUCGCCCACGAAAGGGCGAUUGAAACUGAAAAGAAACCUUGGGAGCAAGCUAAAGUCGUUGAAGACUGGCCAAGAAGAUUCAGUGACGUCACUCCGUACAACAGAUGGAAAAGUUUUAAGAAACUAUGCUAAAUCUUAUUUUCAUAAUAUGCUCCAAUGCCCACUCUUUCCUAUGAGUGAGGUUUUUCUGUAUUCUGAGGAGUGAGGUCACUACAACUCACUGGAGAACCAUCCAUCGCCCACAAAAGGGCGAUUGAAACUGAAAAGAAACCUUGGGAGCGAGCUAAAGUCGUUGAAGACUGGCCAAGAAGAUUCAGUGACACAAUAGACGUCCCUGUUAUAACUUCAGUGCGCAAGACAUUUAAUGUAAGCAAAGUACGACUCAACUUUUAUCCUGAAGAGUGAAGCAAACAAUGCAAGUGUGCAAGAACAAAACUUGAAGACAAUUGCCACCAAGAAAUCGAAGUGGAUCACCAUAAUAGAAGAAAGUUGCUACAGAAACGAGCUAACUCAAGAAUCUUGGACACCUCUUUUCUCUUCCAUUCCUUGAGAGGUGCCCUGAAUCACGAAGACGAGCCAGACAAAGCAGCCAAUCCACGAGGACAGCAACAGCCGCAACGACAGCAUCAUUAUGAGGUCAUUUUUACUACGACGGGCAUGCAGCGGCUGAGGCGUAUUACAUGCAAAAUUCAGAGAUGAGACUAUCUACCCACAAGAGUUGACAAGUGUCGUUAAUUCAGUCACGCACUACAUAUUGUGCGCUGAAUAUCUUCAUAAUACUCUUUCAACUGAGUAAGGUCACUACAACUCACCGGAUAACCAUCUGUCGCCGACAAAAGGUCUGAUACAAAGCAAGGUGGGAAAUGGCACAGUAAAUCACAGCGAGCUUAAACUGCCUAGAUCGUGGUCAGCAAAGCACCUGACACAAUGCAGUAAAGAAAUAUUGUCGACCAUAGGACAUCCCAUAAAAGGGCGAUUAAAACUGAAAAAGAACAAGCUAAAGUCAUUGAAGACUUGCCCAGAAGAUUCAGUGACGUCACCACCUACAACAGAUGGAAAAGGUUUAAGACACUACUAGCUGAAUAUCUUCAUAAUAUACUUCAAUGCCCACUCUUUCCUAUGAGUGAGGUCACUACAGCUCACUGGAGAACCAUCCAUCGCCCACAAAAGGGCGAUUGAAACUGAAAAGGAGCAAGCUAAAGUCAUUGAAGACUUGCCCAGAAGAAUCAGUGACGUCACCACCUACAACAGAUGGAAAAGGUUUAUGACACAACACGCUGAUUAUAUCUUCACAAUAUGCUUCAAUGUCCACUCUUUCCUAUGAGUAAGGUCACUACAACUCACUGGAGAACCAUCCAUCGCCCACAAAAGGGCGAUUGGAACUACGCUAUGUCCUAUGGCUGAAAUGAUGAUGAUAUUGAUAAAGAAACAAGGGUAGAGGCGUAGAGGAUUCAUUGUGCUGAACUGCCUUUAGCAUGGGUCAACCUGAGGGUUCAAGUACAAGACGUCAUCAACACACACAUCAUCUGGAAGUAUUUUCGACCACGAAACAUUGACUGCUGACAACGAUUUGUCAUCAACAACACCAAGAAGCAUUUCAUAAUUAUAAACCGACAUGCAGAAAUUAUGGAAGAUGGUGAUAUUACUGAGAAGAUAGAAAUCAAAAUUGGUUAAUGAUGAAGAAAAAGGUCAACCUAGUAAAUCUAUAUUUUUCUAGCAUGCUUCACGUCAUGUUAUAAGACAAGAAAUGCAACUCAUUUUGUGAAGUACUAAUUAAUGCAUUUUAAUACUUUGCCAUUCAAAAGUGUCAUUAAUAUCAGAAAGGGCUUAUUAUGUAUUGACACAUAAUAGUGACUGAGUUUCUAUUCCGCUUCUUCUUCUCAACACUAUUCCAUUUAUUGUCCCGAAGUAGAAGUAGGUGUUGUAGUUUUGUGAAUCUCUGAUACCUAGGUACUAUUUGUUAUCUCGAAGUAGUGAUAGGGCAAGCUAUAUUUGUAACGUUUAUUUGAAUUUACGUACCUUUACUCAAUGUAUGUGUACUCUACAAUCAAUAGUUUGUAGUUUCGUCUUUAGUUUAUAUAAAGCAUAACAAUAACAGAUCAAAUGGAUAUUCAUCUUAUUAAUACUUUAAAAUAGCCUUUAAAUUACAUCAGCCCAAAAUUAUGAAA